ACAAAUUGGGUCUGGAUUCAGAAUUAGGGCUGCGAUUUCUCCUGCGAUCUCACGAAAUUGAGAAUUGGGGUUGGAUUGGGAAUUGGGGCUUCAUGCCGUCAAAGUGAAAGGAAUUGGGAAUUGGGCUGCUACAAUUUAAGGAAUUGAGAAUUGUGAUUGUGAUUUCUUCCUGCCGUGAAACUUUUUCCACGUUAAACUUAAUCAGGUGUCAAAAGUUUUGAAGAGUUCAGUUUAUGUUGCAAAACGUUGGUGUAUAUAUGUUUGCCCCUUUUUUGACGGGAGGGCUUGGGCCAAUUUUGCCAUGUUUGCAGAGAAUCCUGAGUUCAAAUUUGAUUCUCUUUUUUCCCUUUAUAUUUCUUGACAUGGCAUUAGUUUUCUUGGA
rnacentral:lncRNA from 1 species